rnacentral:piRNA from 1 species
UGGAACCUUGAGGACAUGGACAAAC